AUUGAACGCUGGCGGCAGGCCUAACACAUGCAAGUCGAGCGAGCGGCGGACGGGUGAGUAAUGUAUGGGGACUGCCCGAUAGAGGGGGAUAACUACUGGAAACGGUGGCUAAUACCGCAUACUAUCGGAUAACCCAUAUGGGAUUAGCUAGUAGGUGGGGUAAAGGCUCACCUAGGCGACGAUCUCUAGCUGGUCUGAGAGGAUGAUCAGCGAAACUGGGACUGAGAAAAGGACCAAGAUCCUACGGCAGCAGCAGUGGGGAAUGUGGAACAAUGGGCGAAAGCCUGAAGAAGCCAUGCCGCGUGUAUGAAGAAGGACAUAAGGUUGUAAAGUACUUUCAGCGGGGAGGCGUUCCCCGCUGAAGAAGCACCGGCUAACUCCGUGCCAGCAGCCGCGGUAAUUC
rnacentral:rRNA from 1 species